UACGAGAGGCCCAAACGUUAUUCGGAUUUACUGGGCUAAAAGAGUUCGUAGGCCGCGCGGAAAGUAGGGUGUGAAAGCCCUCGGCUCAACCGAGGAACUGCGCUCUAAACUACCGUGCUUGAGGAACCUAGAGGUGAGCAGAACUGAUGGUGGAGCGGUGAAAUGCGUUGAUAUCAUCAGGAAUACCGGAGGCGAAGGCGGCUCACUGGGGGUUUUCUGACGCUGAGGAACGAAAGCCAGGGGAGCAAACGGG
rnacentral:rRNA from 1 species